rnacentral:rRNA from 1 species
AAUGAACGCUGGCGGCGCGCCUAAUACAUGCAAGUCGAGCGAGAAGACGUAGCAAUACGUUUGUAAAGCGGCGAACGGGUGAGGAAUACAUGGGUAACCUACCCUCGAGUGGGGAAUAACUAGCCGAAGGUUAGCUAAUACCGCGUACGCUUCUUGGACUUCGGUUCAGGGAGGAAAGCGAUACCGUGGGUAUCGCGCUCUUGGAUGGGCUCAUGUCCUAUCAGCUUGUUGGUGAGGUAACGGCUCACCAAGGCUUCGACGGGUAGCUGGUCUGAGAGGACGAUCAGCCACACUGGCACUGCGACACGGGCCAGACUCCUACGGGAGGCAGCAGUAAGGAAUAUUGCGCAAUGGGGACGAAAGCCUGACGCAGCGACGCCGCGUGGGGGA